rnacentral:rRNA from 1 species
AAUGAACGCUGGCGGCAUGCCUAACACAUGCAAGUCGAACGAGGGCUUCGGCCUUAGUGGCGCACGGGUGCGUAACGCGUGGGAAUCUGCCCUUGGGUUCGGAAUAACAGUUAGAAAUGACUGCUAAUACCGGAUGAUGUCGUAAGACCAAAGAUUUAUCGCCCAAGGAUGAGCCCGCGUAGGAUUAGCUAGUUGGUGGGGUAAAGGCCUACCAAGGCGACGAUCCUUAGCUGGUCUGAGAGGAUGAUCAGCCACACUGGGACUGAGACACGGCCCAGACUCCUACGGGAAGCAGCAGUGGGGAAUAUUGGACAAUGGGCGAAAGCCUGAUCCAGCAAUGCCGCGUGAGUGAUGAAGGCCUUAGGGUUGUAAAGCUCUUUUACCCGGGAUGAUAAUGACAGUACCGGGAGAAUAAGCUCCGGCUAACUUCGUG